GUCCACGCCGUAAACGAUGGGCACUAGGUGUCGCGGGAAUUGACCCUCGCGGUGCCGUAGCCAACGCGUUAAGUGCCCCGCCUGGGGAGUACGGCCGCAAGGCUAAAACUCAAAGGAAUUGACGGGGGCCCGCACAAGCGGUGGAGCAUGUGGUUUAAUUCGACGCAACGCGCAGAACCUUACCCGGGCUAGAAAAGCCAGGAAUCUGUCCGAAAGGACGGAGUGCCCUUCUGGGGAACCUGGAUCCAGGUGCUGCAUGGCUGUCGU
rnacentral:rRNA from 1 species